CCGCCAUUUAUCGAUUUACUGAGGUUAGUUCCAAAUCAUAUUUACAAAAUAUGAAAUUUUUUUAUUGCUUAAUCAACUUUUACGAGAUGCAUGUCGAAUUUAUUAAUUUUGUAAUUGUUAAAUUGGAAUAUCGUCAAAAGAGUGGACAUAGUCUAUCAAGAUAUGAUUGUCUAGAAAACCGAGCUGAAGGCAUUGUGCUGUGUUGUUGUCUGAGUUUAUGUUAAUUUGUGCACGGUCAUGGUGAUUGAACUCAUUGUAUUUUCGUAUUUUUAAGUAAACGCCCAAUAGGGAUGGCACGUGCAACAUGCAUGCACGAUGAAAAUUUCAAUCAAGUUGAGACAAAGUCAAAGGAUUUGUGGUGAGGUACAGUUCAACAUCAAACUUGAUGCAUGUUUGAUUUUCAAAUGAAUUAAUCCUUUAAAACACAAUUAAUAGAACUGUGUUCAAAAUCAGCUCUGCGAACAGUGGAAUUAAUUAUAUAUUGCGACAUUAUCCACACAACCUACAUGGUCAAUUUCUGAAAGUUGGUAUUUCAAAAAGAUCAUCCGUGAUAACGUUAUAUGAUCGAUUACUGAAGAUUAUUGAAGAUUCACUAAUCACUUAAUAACUAAAAUAUCUUACCUAUAAUAACUCAUUUCAGCCAGUUAUUGACUGAGGAAUAUUCUUUGUGGAAUAUAACAGUAGUUUACACUUUAUAAUUUAAUACCGUGUAUAUACUCUGCAAGCAUGUUUAAUAAUUAUACGUUCAACACUAUAGUUUCAAUCAGAAAACGUUUUAGACCUUUAGGCAUACACUUCCACUUCACAUAAUGUAAGAAUUUUGUGUGGUCCAGGAAUUAUAAUAUUUACAUAUCUUCCGAUCAUGGGCUGUGGACAUGUGAUACUCUUGGUGAUUACAGUGCUCAGUGAAUGUUUUCCACCACAAGUGGGAUUAGAGUUGCCAUUGUUAUUCAGAGACAAGCCAAUCCUUAUCUCAAAAUUCGAAAGUCUGGAUGUACAGCAGUCGGAGCGAUUGGUGAUGAUCAGCUUUCGAAUGGAGUACUAUAUAGAACAUUGGAAACAAAUGAAGAAUUAAAACGUUACAACUGAAUAACCUGAAAUUAUGAAAUAGUUUAUUUUAUUUUAUUUAUUUAAUAUUCGCCCAAAUCAGUUUAUAAAAUUAACAAUUUAAAUAAAAAAAUAUUUACAAUAGUAGGGCUAGGAACCUUCUAGAAACAAUAAGGC
rnacentral:lncRNA from 1 species